AGCGUUGUUCGGAAUUACUGGGCGUAAAGCGCACGUAGGCGGCUACUCAAGUCAGAGGUGAAAGCCCGGGGCUCAACCCCGGAACAGCCUUUGAAACUAGGUAGCUAGAAUCUUGGAGAGGUCAGUGGAAUUCCGAGUGUAG
rnacentral:rRNA from 1 species